AGAGUUUGAUCCUGGCUCAGGACGAACGCUGGCGGCGUGCCUAAUACAUGCAAGUAGAACGCUGAAGAGAGGAGCUUGCUCUUCUUGGAUGAGUUGCGAACGGGUGAGUAACGCGUAGGUAACCUGCCUUGUAGCGGGGGAUAACUAUUGGAAACGAUAGCUAAUACCGCAUAACAAUGGAUGACACAUGUCAUUUAUUUGAAAGGGGCAAUUGCUCCACUACAAGAUGGACCUGCGUUGUAUUAGCUAGUAGGUGAGGUAACGGCUCACCUAGGCGACGAUACAUAGCCGACCUGAGAGGGUGAUCGGCCACACUGGGACUGAGACACGGCCCAGACUCCUACGGGAGGCAGCAGUAGGGAAUCUUCGGCAAUGGGGGCAACCCUGACCGAGCAACGCCGCGUGAGUGAAGAAGGUUUUCGGAUCGUAAAGCUCUGUUGUAAGUCAAGAACGAGUGUGAGAGUGGAAAGUUCACACUGUGACGGUAGCUUACCAGAAAGGGACGGCUAACUACGUGCCAGCAGCCGCGGUAAUACGUAGGUCCCGAGCGUUGUCCGGAUUUAUUGGGCGUAAAGCGAGCGCAGGCGGUUUGAUAAGUCUGAAGUUAAAGGCUGUGGCUCAACCAUAGUUCGCUUUGGAAACUGUCAAACUUGAGUGCAGAAGGGGAGAGUGGAAUUCCAUGUGUAGCGGUGAAAUGCGUAGAUAUAUGGAGGAACACCGGUGGCGAAAGCGGCUCUCUGGUCUGUAACUGACGCUGAGGCUCGAAAGCGUGGGGAGCGAACAGGAUUAGAUACCCUGGUAGUCCACGCCGUAAACGGUGGAUGCUGGAUGUGGGGACCAUUCCACGGUCUCCGUGUCGGAGCCAACGCGUUAAGCAUCCCGCCUGGGGAGUACGGCCGCAAGGCUAAAACUCAAAGAAAUUGACGGGGGCCCGCACAAGCGGCGGAGCAUGCGGAUUAAUUCGAUGCAACGCGAAGAACCUUACCUAGGCUUGACAUGCACGGCGGCACUGCAGAGAUGUGGUGGCAUUUAGUUGGUCGUGUGCAGGUGGUGCAUGGUUGUCGUCAGCUCGUGUCGUGAGAUGUUGGGUUAAGUCCC
rnacentral:rRNA from 1 species